AUGUGUAGCGGGUAGGGCGUAGGCAGCGGGAAUUGCGCCUUGAUUGAAUCAGGUGGUGGGCGUUUGGCGUUGCACCUUUAAAUGUAGCAAGCUGGCGGUUUCUCUGAUUAGUGUUUUACUAUAGAUUCUUGGUUCCUUGGACUCUUGGUUGGUUGUACGAGUUGAUCUCGACUUGGUGUUUGUGGGUUAUUCAGUGCCGUGGUUACAUCUAGCUCCGUCUUCACGAGCCCUCACCGGCUACGGAUUGUGUCUGCGUGUUUCAAUGAAAAUUCGCUGAUUUAGAGUAUGACCACUACAAGUUUGCCGAGUGCUGUUUGUUGUGCUGAGAAUAUUGGCCUGGGAAUGUAUGAGUAAAAACCAGACGGAAUAAGGCGAUUGCUACAGUAUUACAACUAAACAAGCUCUUGGUUCGACGCUGCGGUCUGUGUCCAUACAGGAGGACCGUCAUAUGCCAUCUUGGCCACUGUUUUUCCUGUGCCCUGUUUUUAGUAUUCAGUUGUGUGUGUGUGUGUGUGUGUGUGUG